rnacentral:rRNA from 1 species
GCAGAGCAUCCUACGGGAGGCAGCAUGGGGAAUAUUGCACAAUGGGCGCAAGCCUGAUGCAGCCAUGCCGCGUGUAUGAAGAAGGCCUUCGGGUUGUAAAGUACUUUCAGCAGUGAGGAAGGUGGGUAUGUUAAUAGCAUACUCAUUUGACGUUAGCUGCAGAAGAAGCACCGGCUAACUCCGUGCCAGCAGCCGCGGUAAUACGGAGGGUGCGAGCGUUAAUCGGAAUUACUGGGCGUAAAGCGCAUGCAGGUGGUUUGUUAAGUCAGAUGUGAAAGCCCGGGGCUCAACCUCGGAAUUGCAUUUGAAACUGGCAAACUAGAGUACUGUAGAGGGGGUAGAAUUUCAGGUGUAGCGGUGAAAAUGCGUAGAGAUCUGAAGGAAUACCGGUGGCGAAGGCGGCCCCCUGGACAGAUACUGACACUCAGAUGCGAAAGCGUGGGGAGCAAACAGGAUUAGAUACCCUGGUAG